UUUCCUUGUUGUCUGUACCUGAAUACCUGCCUGCCAUCUUGUCAACCUGUCUGACUGUAAGCGUGUUUUAGCUUAUUUAAAGCUGCUUCACUGCAUUAGUCUGCCUGUGUGUCUGUUUGGGUCCACCUUGCCUGUGCUGCUUCCAUCAUCUGUGACAAAUAGGAUCUAGCUGUAGAGGUGCUGAACCCUGGGUCAUUACACUGAAGGGGAACCUGAAGGCUCUUCCUGGCUCCACACGGUUGUCCACUUCAACCUAGAGAGAAAAUGGUGCAAAAGAAACAGACAAAAGUUGCAUGACUGGGUACACAUGUUGUGAGGAAGACGUGAAGCGACAAACCUGGAAGUUCACUUUGGAGACGGACAUCUGGGUUGUAGACUGCCUCUGAAAUUCACUGUUUGACACUUUGUCUGUUCCUUCCAGAAUGACCAAAAACUCCCCCUUAGGGACCACAUCAGCAGUCACCAGGAUGUCUCCGUUGCCCAUGUCAGUCAUUGUGCUGUUGCUCAUAGCAUCAGGACCAGACACGGAUACAAGGCUGACUUUUCCAACAGUCACUGAGGACGGACCUUUCCUUCCGAUUACUGAAAGCAUCAUGGUGACUGGCUGGCCUGGGUUUCCAGAGUAGAGAAGCAAGUUGUCUCACCUGCAGUGUAUGAAGGACUCUGCCCAGUGUUUCUCUGGCCACCCGGAAGUUCUCUCCGCGAAUGUUGGCCUUAAUGGCCACCAUGCCCUCCGUAAUUAGCCAACGUCCCUCCAGGAAGGUCUCUGAGUUGAAGUGGUACGGAGCACUGAAAGAAUUUUUCAUAAGUAAUAACUUGAGCAGAGUGAAAAUUGGCACCUGACACCUCUCCUGUUGCUGUGGGUCCUAGACAGGCCUGAACCAGCUCCUCAGGAGAAGAACCCUGGAAGCAGAAAAGACUGAUUCCCUUAAAAAUGGAGGGGU